rnacentral:lncRNA from 1 species
CCAACCCUGAUGACACCUUGAUCUUGGACUUCACAGCCUCCAGAACUAACAUACUCAAGUGUCUCAGCUCAACAUUUGGAGAUGAGCCAUCCUCCUCUUAUUGUAAGAAAAGCUUGAAGGAGUAUUUUCACAGCGAUGGAACUGGAAGUUAAGGCAACUUCUAUCAGCAUCAAGAAAAGAAAAGAAGUAUUCACCACUUACGAAACAACAUCUCUCUUCUCAUCAAUAGUUUGAUUUACAGCAUCUACUGCAGAAGACCUCAAUAAUGCAUAAGAACAUCUGGAAGUACGGUAAUUUCAGCUAUCAGAGAUAAGAAUUGACACAGAACAGUUUCCUCACUGGAGAAAAUAAGCCUGGUUAUUUUUUGGCCUAUGUUGAAACAUCAUAAGUAGAAUGAAACAGCAUAAUUUUUUCCCCCUGGGGUUCAAGAGUUUAUUUCUUUUGAUACAACAAUAAAUCAACUGACGAAAUGGAAUUUCUUUGCAAUACAUAUGCAACAAGUUAGUUUGCAUGGACAAGUUGAGCUUCAGUUUAUAUAUAGACACUCUGGAACAUUUUAUUAUAAAGCAAUAGUGCUGGAAAGCCACUUAAAGGGGUAACUGCACCAGUAACUAUGAGAAGGAGAUAUAUGAUUAACCUAGUAGAACUUAAAAAGUGAUUUCUGCAGCUUUGAAAUCAUCUACACAUGAACUCAAGCAGCAAUACGUAUUGGUUUAGAUUCUGUGCUAUCAUUGGUACAUGGUACUACACAGUGAUGCUGUUUAAAUGAAGAAAUCUACUCUUCUAAAAAAUCUUUGCCACUGAUGCCACAUACAAAUACCGUAUGGACUAGCUCUCAGAGCCAAAGCAGGAAAAAUCGCCAAAGGGUAAAAAUAGUUCUUGAUAUGAUGAUACGCUGCUAAAAGCCACAUGGUGUUUGGGUGCAGUAUUUCACAGUCAAACAAUCAUAAUUUCAUGCCUAAAAUGUGCAUGUUAUUUCAGGAAAAUACAAAAUCUGAGCAUUGCACAUUUGCUACAGAAUGACCAGUGAGUGUUGCUAUAAUGAUUUGUUUUUCUUUUACAAAUGAAUAUUUCUUGCUGAGCCUUUUCAUGCCAUAUUGCCUGGGGCGGCAAUGGAAGUAAGGACAGACUGAGGUUAGAGUUGGAGGGAGUAUUGGGGAUGUCUGGUCUUUUCUGCUAAAUUUCUAUAAUGCUACAGAGUAGGUAUAGUAUAAAAAAAAGCUUCCCUUUUUGUUUUCUUUCUUUCUUGAAAUGUUAAGUACUGUAGUUCUCAUCUUAGAAGAAGAACUGGGUUUUGUGGGGCUGGAUGGUAAGAGACAGCUUUUUCAAAAGCAUGGUUUAUAUCUUUCUCCAAGAGUACUACGGUUCUCAUGUGAUCUUUAGUAAAUAUUUAUGAUAUGAAACUCUCUCUCCCUUAAAGUUGUAAUGGAUUUGGAGGGUUCAAUUGAUCUGAGCCCAUGGUCAUUGCAGUAGAAAUACAAGAACAUAUUAUAAAUGUUAGUUUCUCUAAAAUAUUCCUCAUAAUUUGUUUAAGCUAUAUGAUACUCCACAGUCAGGCUGAAGAGUGAGAAGGAUAGGUAUAAAGAGAAAUCUGUAAAAAUUGGAAACGACAAGGAAAGGGAAUUAGUAUAUGUUUUUUGUCUUGUUUUGUUUUGGUAACAAAAAUUGCUUAUGCAAAGAGAAAAAAUCUCCUGACAUUAUUAAACAAAAGUGGAAGGUUUGUGGCAUCCAGCAAACUAGAAAAAUAUUUAAAGUCCUGGAGAGAAAAAAUAAAAUAAAACAAAAACCAGUUGAAAGUCCAUAUCAUGACCUCAUACUCAUGAGGAUGGAUGAUUAAUCCCGGUAUCAAUGCAGGGUAAAUGAAAAAGGAUUUGGUUCCUUACCAUAAUAAUAAUUGAUAGCAUUAUAUAAGAGCUUACUGUGUGCCAGGCCCUUUAAGAAAAUAAACUCGUUUAAUUAUUUAUAAAAAAAUUUACAGGUACUAUUACUAUACCCAUUUGGCAGAGGAGGAAACUGAGGAAGAGAGAAGCUAAGACACUAUAGACAAACCUUUAGAAGAACAUUAGCCAGUAAGUGCAAGCUGGAUGACUGAGAAGAGUUGGGAACUGUGGCUAAAGGUACAGAGAGACACAAGCUGUUGUCAUGAGGUCAACUAGAACUAAUGAAAGAAAUUACUAAGUGUUGUAUUAAUAAAAGAAGACUAUGUAAAAAUUAAAUACUAAUAUAAUUAAGUGAUGUUACUCUGUACACUUGUCUUCUACCUCAACUUAAUAGUUUGUAGCCCCAGUGGCAAUAUAUUUUUGAACUGGAGACGAUCUUAAAGGUCAUCUAGUUCAGUGAAACACAACAUUUUUUCUGAUAGGAAAUGAAAGACAACACUCACUUGCAGAGCACAUCCUGAUAUGAAGAAACUGAAGGCUGGAGCGAUUAUCUCAAGACUUCAUAGAUAAUUAGUAGUAGGAUAAAGGCGCCAAAUCAGCUGUUCUGACUCCCAGAUCAAAUUAUUAAAUAUAUGCGUGGUGAAGAAUAGGGGAAAAAAGACAGUAUCUCUGAGGCCAUACUGCUAAAAUGCAUACUGGGGAUAUUGAUUGACUAUCUAUUAUGUCUCAAGCAUUAUAACACAUAGAACAGAUGUGACUCCAAUUAUCAUGGAUCCUAUGGCUAGCAAAGGAAAUGGGUCAGCAACAAUACAGUAGGCUCUUAUCCAUGGUUUCACCUGAGGUUUCAAUUACCUGCAGUCAACUGUGGUCUGAAAACAUUAAAUGGAAAAUUCCAGAAAUAAAUAAUUCAUAGGUUUUAAAUCCUAUGCCAUUUUGAGUAGCGUGAUGAAAUCUCCUGCCAUCCUGCUCUUUCCUACCUGGAACAUGAAUUACCCCUUUGUCCAGCAUAUCCACACGGUAUAUACUGCCUCCCAGUUAGUUAACAUUAUCUGCUCCUGACAUCCAGCCGAUAUUGUCAGGGCUCAGUGAUUCAGGAUCACCCAGAGCAGAUGAUCCUCCUUCUGAUGUAUCACCAGAAAGUCAAGAGUAGUCAAACGCUAUGUGACAAUGCCACUGUCAUUCACCUCACUUCAUCUCAUUAUGUAGCUACUUUAUCAUCUCACAUCAUCACAUGAAGAAAGGUGAAUUCAACAAUAGAUAUUUUGAGAGAGAG